UCCGCUAACCGAUUUGCUCAGGGCGAUGUCACUCAGUCCAGGCUGAGUAAGGCUCCUCGCAAUUGGCUACCUGUCGAAGCUCCAAGAUGGCAUGGCUUCUGAGCUGCUGUGCCCUAAGAGGACUGGAGAACACGUUAAUGUAUAUUUUGAUUUAUGUUGGCCCAUGAUGAUGCUUGUCGGAGUACCGCAAUUGUCUGCUGUCACUUUCUACAGUUUUGCUGAUCAGGAGCUAACUCUUUGCUGUCAGGCAUAUUGAAAAAUAUUCACAAGUUUGUACUCAACAGAUAUGACUACACUGAAACUGAGGGCAAUUUCUGGAGUCGUUGUGUGCAGAAUUUCACAGAAAUCUGUAAAUUAUUGUUGUAAUUCUUAAUUUCCCCAUCGGGUGUGCUGCUGGGUUACCACUUCUGCUGAAAUUACUGCUAUCAGUUUGAAAUGUUAUGAACUAAUGAGGACACAAACUCAUAUACUUUCAGUCUCAUUGUAAACUAAACCCUAUUAAAGAUAUCAGCCUUUGUUUCAUUGA